CGGAACACCACGAGGCCAUUCCAUCGACUUCUAGCGACACGAGUCCAACAAAGAAACUGCGAUCCAGACAGGAUAUGUUGAAGAAGAGGCUGACUCGUGAUUUCCCCCAGCUGGUGUUCCACACCCCCACCAAGCGCAACAUCUGCGAGCUGGUUUUUGCAGAGACCCUGUCAACCGGUACACUCGUGGACAUGCUACCUUACCCAUCAGGUGUGGAAACCACACAGUCUAGUGAGUUGAGCCAGACAGCGAGACUGAAAAAGGGACAACAGAGUGCCAAACAACACAAGAGGACGCAAGGACACUAUAUACAGCAGCGUUGUUCUUAAAAAGACACAAACAAGUCAUUGAUGUUGUGUGUUGUGUAUGCAUGUGUGUUGUAUAGGUACAUAUAUAUUUUGUUUUGUAUUUUACUUUGUAUACUUCUAUAUCUUUCAUCCCUGUUUUUUUAUAUUUGUGUUUUUUUGUUUUUAUUCUUGUGUGUUUGGUUUAUUGAUGCUGCUACUUGUAACGACAAAUUUCCCCUUGGGGAUUAAUAAAGUAUAUCUAUCUAUCUAUC